ACGGGAGGCAGCAGUGGGGAAUAUUGGGCAAUGGGCGCAAGCCUGACCCAGCAACGCCGCGUGAAGGAAGAAGGUCUUCGGAUUGUAAACUUCUUUUAUGAGGGACGAAGGACGUGACGGUACCUCAUGAAUAAGCCACGGCUAACUACGUGCCAGCAGCCGCGGUAGUACGUAGGUGGCGAGCGUUAUCCGGAUUUACUGGGUGUAAAGGGCGCGUAGGCGGGGAUGCAAGUCAGAUGUGAAAUCUAUGGGCUUAACCCAUAAACUGCAUUUGAAACUGUAUCUCUUGAGUGCUGGAGAGGUAGAUGGAAUUCCUUGUGUAGCGGUGAAAUGCGUAGAUAUAAGGAAGAAUACCAGUGGCGAAGGCGAUCUACUGGACAGUAACUGACGCUGAGGCGCGAAAGCGUGGGGAGCAAACAGGAUUAGAUACCCUGGUA
rnacentral:rRNA from 1 species